GUGACAUUUAUCAGAAGUGUCUGCAGACAAUAUCAGUGCUAUUACAGAGAAGCCCUCCGACAAUCCAAGGAACUCAGUCAGCUAUGCUGGUGUAGCUGACAAGUGGAGGUCCCAAUCGAGAUCGGAAAGAUGAAGAAGAUUGCUGACUGGCCGUCUCCGGGGCGCACAUUAGGACAGGAGACGUAUUGGGCAUUAACCAAAGAUGCUGCACUGUGGGGAACAAGCCCUCAAGAGAAUGUGGGGACCUGUGUCCAGGGACAUUGGAGGGGAGGCCCAUGUGUGAGAGGACCA